AGCCACAGAAGUGGCUGCUUGAGCUCUGGGUGAAGAACAGAAGGGCUGUAUGGUUCAGUCAGUGCAUGGGGUGGGGGGCAAACAAGAAUUUCCCAUAAGCAAGGAGUCUUGGCCAACAAGACUAUAAGCCUGCUGUUGGGUAAGGGGCAUUCUUGUUAUAGACAAGAGGAACUGGAGAGAGGAAGCAAGCACAAGUCCGUUCAUAGAUGCCGUGUGGAAGCCAAUUUGAGUGUUCUCAACUUAGUUAUUGUGAAGAAAGGGGAGAAGGACAUUAAUGGACUGACAGACACUGCUGGGCCUCCGUGGCUAACAGAAUCCAGAAUCUUUUCAAUCUCUCUAAAGAAGAUAUGUCUGCUAUUACUGUCAGAAAGCCCUUAAAGAUGUGAGAAGCCCAGGACUGAAGCACACCAGGCUCAGCAUCUCGCUACUCCACGUGUCCUGAGGCACCAACGUGAACGUAUUGCACUGAAGAAACAAUGCGCACUAUGGAAAAAAAAAAAAAAAAAAAACGAGGAGGCUGCAGAAUAUGCUAAACUUUUGGCCAAGAGAAUGAAGGAAGCUAAAGAAAAGCAACAGGAACAGAUUGCCAGGAGACGUAGGCUGUCCUCGAUGAGAGCUUCUACUUCUAAGUCCAGUCGAAAGUA
rnacentral:lncRNA from 1 species